UAAGCCAUGCAUGCCUUCGAAUAAGAAGUUUGUAAUCUCUGAAUCUGCGAACGGCUCCGCAUACCAGUUGUUGACCAUUACAGGAAAGCCUCGGGUGGAGGCGCUUCAUUGCGCCCGAAUCCUUGGCUGCCAUGGAUAAUCGCGGUAAUUCUGCGACUAAUACAAGAACGUAAAACCCUUCGAACCGGGCAACUGGGACGUUGGGGGUUGUGCGAGCUUAUGCCAACUAUAAAUAGGGAUGAAUACGCGCACGAUCGUACCGCCACGCCAAACGAUCUUGGUUCUAGGCUUAGUAUCGUGAGAGAAAAGCUAGUCCUCGUUCGGGCGGUACCAGUACUGUGCUUCUGACCUAUCAACUAGAAUGCGAUUCCAUGGACUGCAAUGGUCACAACGGGUACAGAGGAUAAGGGUUCGAUCCUGGAGAGUGGGCCUGAGAGAUUGCUCAUACUUCUAAGGAAGGCAGCAGGCGCGCAAAGUUCCCAAUGGGCAAAGCCCGAGGGCGUGAAGGGACAUAUGAAUACCUACCAAUGGUGGGUAAUUCAAAUGGGACUGUUUUAAACACCCUAUCGAGUAACAAUUAGAGGACAAGUC
rnacentral:rRNA from 1 species